rnacentral:rRNA from 1 species
GGUUAAGCGACUAAGCGUACACGGUGGAUGCCCUGGCAGUCAGAGGCGAUGAAGGACGUGCUAAUCUGCGAUAAGCGUCGGUAAGGUGAUAUGAACCGUUAUAACCGGCGAUUUCCGAAUGGGGAAACCCAGUGUGUUUCGACACACUAUCAUUAACUGAAUCCAUAGGUUAAUGAGGCGAACCGGGGGAACUGAAACAUCUAAGUACCCCGAGGAAAAGAAAUCAACCGAGAUUCCCCCAGUAGCGGCGAGCGAACGGGGAGCAGCCCAGAGCCUGAAUCAGUGUGUGUGUUAGUGGAAGCGUCUGGAAAGGCGCGCGAUACAGGGUGAUAGCCCCGUACACAAAAAUGCACAUGCUGUGAGCUCGAUGAGUAGGGCGGGACACGUGGUAUCCUGUCUGAAUAUGGGGGGACCAUCCUCCAAGGCUAAAUACUCCUGACUGACCGAUAGUGAACCAGUACCGUGAGGGAAAGGCGAAAAGAACCCCGGCGAGGGGAGUGAAAAAGAACCUGAAACCGUGUACGUACAAGCAGUGGGAGCACGCUUAGGCGUGUGACUGCGUACCUUUUGUAUAAUGGGUCAGCGACUUAUAUUCUGUAGCAAGGUUAACCGAAUAGGGGAGCCGAAGGGAAACCGAGUCUUAACUGGGCGUUAAGUUGCAGGGUAUAGACCCGAAACCCGGUGAUCUAGCCAUGGGCAGGUUGAAGGUUGGGUAACACUAACUGGAGGACCGAACCGACUAAUGUUGAAAAAUUAGCGGAUGACUUGUGGCUGGGGGUGAAAGGCCAAUCAAACCGGGAGAUAGCUGGUUCUCCCCGAAAGCUAUUUAGGUAGCGCCUCGUGAAUUCAUCUCCGGGGGUAGAGCACUGUUUCGGCAAGGGGGUCAUCCCGACUUACCAACCCGAUGCAAACUGCGAAUACCGGAGAAUGUUAUCACGGGAGACACACGGCGGGUGCUAACGUCCGUCGUGAAGAGGGAAACAACCCAGACCGCCAGCUAAGGUCCCAAAGUCAUGGUUAAGUGGGAAACGAUGUGGGAAGGCCCAGACAGCCAGGAUGUUGGCUUAGAAGCAGCCAUCAUUUAAAGAAAGCGUAAUAGCUCACUGGUCGAGUCGGCCUGCGCGGAAGAUGUAACGGGGCUAAACCAUGCACCGAAGCUGCGGCAGCGACACUAUGUGUUGUUGGGUAGGGGAGCGUUCUGUAAGCCUGUGAAGGUGUGCUGUGAGGCAUGCUGGAGGUAUCAGAAGUGCGAAUGCUGACAUAAGUAACGAUAAAGCGGGUGAAAAGCCCGCUCGCCGGAAGACCAAGGGUUCCUGUCCAACGUUAAUCGGGGCAGGGUGAGUCGACCCCUAAGGCGAGGCCGAAAGGCGUAGUCGAUGGGAAACAGGUUAAUAUUCCUGUACUUGGUGUUACUGCGAAGGGGGGACGGAGAAGGCUAUGUUGGCCGGGCGACGGUUGUCCCGGUUUAAGCGUGUAGGCUGGUUUUCCAGGCAAAUCCGGAAAAUCAAGGCUGAGGCGUGAUGACGAGGCACUACGGUGCUGAAGCAACAAAUGCCCUGCUUCCAGGAAAAGCCUCUAAGCAUCAGGUAACAUCAAAUCGUACCCCAAACCGACACAGGUGGUCAGGUAGAGAAUACCAAGGCGCUUGAGAGAACUCGGGUGAAGGAACUAGGCAAAAUGGUGCCGUAACUUCGGGAGAAGGCACGCUGAUAUGUAGGUGAAGCGACUUGCUCGUGGAGCUGAAAUCAGUCGAAGAUACCAGCUGGCUGCAACUGUUUAUUAAAAACACAGCACUGUGCAAACACGAAAGUGGACGUAUACGGUGUGACGCCUGCCCGGUGCCGGAAGGUUAAUUGAUGGGGUCAGCGCAAGCGAAGCUCUUGAUCGAAGCCCCGGUAAACGGCGGCCGUAACUAUAACGGUCCUAAGGUAGCGAAAUUCCUUGUCGGGUAAGUUCCGACCUGCACGAAUGGCGUAAUGAUGGCCAGGCUGUCUCCACCCGAGACUCAGUGAAAUUGAACUCGCUGUGAAGAUGCAGUGUACCCGCGGCAAGACGGAAAGACCCCGUGAACCUUUACUAUAGCUUGACACUGAACAUUGAGCCUUGAUGUGUAGGAUAGGUGGGAGGCUUUGAAGUGUGGACGCCAGUCUGCAUGGAGCCGACCUUGAAAUACCACCCUUUAAUGUUUGAUGUUCUAACGUUGACCCGUAAUCCGGGUUGCGGACAGUGUCUGGUGGGUAGUUUGACUGGGGCGGUCUCCUCCUAAAGAGUAACGGAGGAGCACGAAGGUUGGCUAAUCCUGGUCGGACAUCAGGAGGUUAGUGCAAUGGCAUAAGCCAGCUUGACUGCGAGCGUGACGGCGCGAGCAGGUGCGAAAGCAGGUCAUAGUGAUCCGGUGGUUCUGAAUGGAAGGGCCAUCGCUCAACGGAUAAAAGGUACUCCGGGGAUAACAGGCUGAUACCGCCCAAGAGUUCAUAUCGACGGCGGUGUUUGGCACCUCGAUGUCGGCUCAUCACAUCCUGGGGCUGAAGUAGGUCCCAAGGGUAUGGCUGUUCGCCAUUUAAAGUGGUACGCGAGCUGGGUUUAGAACGUCGUGAGACAGUUCGGUCCCUAUCUGCCGUGGGCGCUGGAGAACUGAGGGGGGCUGCUCCUAGUACGAGAGGACCGGAGUGGACGCAUCACUGGUGUUCGGGUUGUCAUGCCAAUGGCACUGCCCGGUAGCUAAAUGCGGAAGAGAUAAGUGCUGAAAGCAUCUAAGCACGAAACUUGCCCCGAGAUGAGUUCUCCCUGACUCCUUGAGAGUCCUGAAGGAACGUUGAAGACGACGACGUUGAUAGGCCGGGUGUGUAAGCGCAGCGAUGCGUUGAGCUAACCGGUACUAAUGAACCGUGAGGCUUAACCUU